CAUAAGUCAUUUGCUGUCUUAAGAUUUUUUCUGAAUCACGUGGUCAUUUUUUUUUCUUGUAUUUAUUUUCUCUAAACGCGGGUUAAACGUUGACAUGGUCGACUCGCAAUAAAUAGCCGGUUAUCCGGUCUGAGGGUCUCAUUCAAUGCCGAGUCUGGCAAGCUUAACACUAACCCAAGACAGAGAAAAAGAUGGCGGAAUUAAAACAUUACUUCCUACUCUGUAUUUUAAUAGCAGGUCUAUCAGUUAGCCAUUCUCAACUUCAUGGAUUAGCCAAAAUGUUAGCUGGGCCCCGGGGAGGGAUGUUGAAAAUGUUAGCACACCGCGUGCCCUUAUUACAGAGAGGCUUGGCAACGUUACAAGACAUGAAAAUAGCAAAACGAUUAGGAUGCACCGCUGCCUUUGACAACGAAUCACCUUUAAGAACAAUUAUGCCAUCUGGAUGCACAGCUGAAAAGGAUAUCUGCCCAUAUGUAAAGCCAACUAAAAGAUGUGUACAAGUGGGCAUAAUCGGAAUGUGCUGUCCUUACAUGGUAAACUCGUCUACAAUAAAAAAUGCUAAAAUGAUGUACAAAUGGAAACGGUUAUCAGAAGUGAUGGCAUAAAAGGACAAAAGACCUGGGCUAAAAAAAACUAUAUAAAUAUAUAUUUUAUUUAUGUGGGUGUGUUUGUGCUUGUAGUUAUUUAUCAUAAUUGAAAUGACUGUGAUUUACGUCAUCGGCGCCGUUUUUGUGUUCAUAAAAAGACAACGGUUAAAGCUAAUUCUCUAUUAAUUAGACUAUGACUUGACCUAUAAUUACAAGGGCAUUUGAAACCUUUAUCAACAACAAUUAAGGAGGCUUGAUAAAGAUCUCAAUUGGUUUCAAUGAUUAAUUGUUUGUUUAUUAAUUGUCAAUGUAAUUGAAAGGCAUCUGGUAUAUGUCUGCCCAAACCUAA